UAUUAUUUAGUAUUUACAGAAAAGAUAUCAUUGGGUGAAAUCUAUAUUAGACCUACCACCAUCAAUGAUUAUAAUCAUUGUACAUACAUUAAUUUUAUAAUAUGAUUUUUUUAGCUAUUAUGCAAUGAGAUUAAAUUUCCUCUUAAGGAUACUCUUCUACAUUGACCUGGUGUAUUAAUAAUAAAUAAUUUUGAAAUGCUUAUUAGCCAAGUUGAAUCCUGA
rnacentral:misc_RNA from 1 species